rnacentral:tRNA from 1 species
GGAUUGUGGCUCAGUGGCAGAGCACUUGCCUAGCAUGUGCAAGGCACUGGGUUCAAUCUUCAGCACCA